UCAGAAAGUAGUUUAGUUGAAAAUACCAGCUUUGGGAGUUGGUGAGGAAGGUUUGAUUCCUUUCUUUCUGAG
rnacentral:tRNA from 1 species